UCAUAUCCUUCUCUUCUUUUCCCCUAUUCUCUAAUCACCUAAUUAAUAUCCAACCGUUUCAAAGCCCUAAAUCUAAGCCGAUUUACAUUUUGGUGAUUUCAACUGUGCCGCAUUCAUCUCUUACUUUCAACUACAUCGAUUUGUUCUUGAAGCAGGUAUUUUUUUACUGAAUCCAUCAUAUUAAUCUGGUAUCUGUAGAUGUCUUACUUUGAUUUCAUCCUCCCCUUAUACACAAACCCUAAAACUCUUCAUGUUCCAUCGCAAGAAGGCUUGAAACGCUUCUCAUUCCUCUCUCAACUUUCUAUGAGAUUGGAGCUUCCAUGAUAAAGAUAACCUUUCCUUUGUAUCUUACUCUGUAAAUCAAAAACCCUGAAUAUAAGUCGUUGGUGGUGAAGCAGGUCUGAUUAGAAAUUGAAGGAUCGAGACAUGCUUCUUGCUUCAUUGCAACAAAAUCAAUUUUACCCUAAAUCUACUUCAUUAACGCAUUCCCAGACUCUUUAAUGUUGUCUUCAACAUCUGUUUUGACUGGAGAUGAAUGAGAAAUUGAAGUGUGGCGUAUUGAGUAUUUUAAGCCAGUGCCCAUUACACAGGCUUCUUAUGGCAAGUUUUUUACAUGGGACUCCUAUCUUAUAUUGAAGGAGAGCAAAAUUUUGAAGUUCUUAGGGUUUUAUAUUAAACCCGCUAGCAUGGGUCAUGGAAGUUGCUGCAAUUAUGGCAAUUGCACUUGCAAAUGGAAGAGUGACUAAUCUCAAGUUCUCAACUGGUAAAGCACCUAAUUGGUUCAUUUAGAACAAGUGGGAUAGGUGUGGCACUGUCUGGUCCAGAUGGCGGCUGGCCUCCUAACUGUUGCGUCACCUGUUCAGGUCAAACUCCACACUCCUUCACUAAAGAAGAAAUUGAAUACUUAAUAAAGCGCAUUCAAGAUGGUGGAAACAAAGCUGUUAAGGAAAGGCAGAUCACUUUUCUUUAAAGGCGACAACAUGGACAACUUUUUUCAGGUGGAUCCAAGGUUGUUAAGAAAGGUAUAUCACUUUUCUUAAAAUGUGGCAACAUGGACAAUUAGGUGAGUUGGGUAUUGGGUCAAAUUGUUUUGCCUUUUGUUUUGACCGGGUCGGUUUAACCCAAAACACUGUUGUCACAUAUCUACCUUUUUCUUAUAAAUAGUUUGUAGACCAUAUAUGGUUAUAGAUUUAAAGUUAGCUGAACAAUUCUACACAACUUUCUGUGUUGUUUGGCCUAUAUGGCAUGCUUCCUUUUUACUGCUUCGAAUUUUUAUUUUUAUUUUGAAUAAGAGAAUCAUUUAUUAAAUCGGCUAAUAUUAUUUCAUCUGCUGGAUUGCCUAAUUAUGUAAAAAGCAGUGA
rnacentral:lncRNA from 1 species